rnacentral:sRNA from 1 species
AAGCUACUUCCUUGCGAACCCGUCCAAGUUGCUUCGGCGGCGCGGUCGCCCUCUUAGGGGGGCGCCGCAGGCCUCUACCUCCCACUGUAGUGGUGGAGGACCUCACCACUGUAGUGGUAGAGGCCCUCCCACUGUAGUGGUGGAGGCUCCCACUGUACAGUGGUAGAGGACCUCCCACUGUAGUGGUGGAGGGGCGCCCGCCGGAGGUACGAAACUCUCCUGUCUUACAGUGGAAUCUCUGAGUACAAAGCAAAUAAGUCAAAACUUUCAACAACGGAUCUCUUGGUUCUGGCAUCGAUGAAGAACGCAGCGAAAUGCGAUAAGUAAUGUGAAUUGCAGAAUUCAGUGAAUCAUCGAAUCUUUGAACGCACAUUGCGCCCGGCAGUACUCUGCCGGGCAUGCCUGUUCGAGCGUCAUUUCAACCCUCAAGCCCGGCUUGGUGUUGGGGCCCUACGGCUGCCGUAGGCCCUGAAAGGAAGUGGCGGGCUCGCUGCAACUCCGAGCGUAGUAACUCACUGUCUCGCUAGGGAGGUUGCGGCGGCGCUCCGGCCGUUAAAGAACCCAUCUUUAACCAAGG